UACAGAGGGUGCGAGCGUUAAUCGGAAUUACUGGGCGUAAAGCGUGCGUAGACGGUUAUUUAAGUCGGAUGUGAAAGCCCCGGGCUCAACCUGGGAAUUGCAUUCGAGACUGAAUAGCUAGGGUACGGUAGAGGGAAGCGGAAUUUCCGGUGUAGCGGUGAAAUGCGUAGAUAUCGGAAGGAACAUCAGUGGCGAAAGCGGCUUCCUGGACCAGUACCGACGUCAGCACGAAAGCGUGGGGAGCAAACAGG
rnacentral:rRNA from 1 species